rnacentral:lncRNA from 1 species
GUUACACCACGAUGGAAGUGCAAAAUGUGAGUCUCAUCCGUCAGUAGUCACACAGAUUGGAGAGAAGCUGGGUUUGACCAAGGCCAAGCUGUUUUGCAAGUUCAAGCUUCAAACCACCAUGAGCCCAUGAUCCACUCUUUCAAGGUGGUGUUUAGGCUUAGUUGAGCUAACCGUGGGGACAGCUUGUGGGUUUCACACGCAGAUCAGCCGCGUCUGCCUGCCCACUGUCCCAAUUCAAGAU